GGGGAAUCUUCCACAACGGGCGAAAGCCUGAUGGAGCAACGCCGCGUGAGUGAUGAAGGCCUUCGGGUUGUAAAGCUCUGUUAUUCGGGACGAAAGAGCGCAUGGCUAAUAUCCAUGCGAAGUGACGGUACCGAAAGAGAAAGCCACGGCUAACUACGUGCCAGCAGCCGCGGUAAUACGUAGGUGGCAAGCGUUGUCCGGAAUUAUUGGGCGUAAAGCGCGCGCAGGCGGCCUUUUAAGUCCAUCUUAAAAGCGUGGGGCUCAACCCCAUGAGGGGAUGGAAACUGGGAGGCUGGAGUAUCGGAGAGGAAAGCGGAAUUCCUAGUGUAGCGGUGAAAUGCGUAGAGAUUAGGAAGAACACCAGUGGCGAAGGCGGCUUUCUGGACGACAACUGACGCUGAGGCGCGAAAGCGUGGGGAGCAAAC
rnacentral:rRNA from 1 species